rnacentral:lncRNA from 1 species
GAGACCCCACCCCACUCUCGUCUCUAGCAACUUAGAGACAGCCCUGUCUCUCACCACCUUGCACCGCCACCCUCCGCCCACCGGAAAUCGCCUCACGACGGUUUCGGUGUCCCAAAUCGUCUCAAAGUUACACCCUAGCAUCCCUUCUACCUCCUCAUUCCAAUUCCACACUCCAUUAACCUCGAAUCAUCCUAUAACCUCUCGAAUCUUCGAUCGAAGAUCCCCGUCCCAAACCCUAGCCUGUCCGCUUAACCCCAAAAUCACACCCAAUAAUCCCCUUGACCUCCUCGUCGCUAAUCCCUAACCAAAUUGGCUCGAAUCCGAGUAAAACUCAUCGAAUGGCGGAUCUAGGGUUCAACGGUUCGAGACUGUUUCAAAACUGUCAGGGUUGAAUGGGUUCUAGUUAGUAUUAUAAGCCGAUUUCUGACGAAAUAGACGUGUAAUGCUAACUGGAACUCAAGUUCGAAAGGGCAUGUUGGUGGGAUCCGAGAAAAGAACAGUAAGUUCUUCUUAGCUUCUUCUUUUCCUUUUUCUAUAUGUUUAUUUGUCUGUGUUAAGUUGUAAUUAGUCGCUUCUUUAGGUUUUUAGUUUAAGUAAAUUCUUAAUCCAGUAAAUAUUCCGCCUCUUUUUCUGAUUCUGGUCAGAUUAAAUACUCCAAUGUUCGUUUGAGUAGUUCAAUCAAUUAUUCGUUUGCCUAAAUUAGGUUCGUUGUAAUUCGUCUUUGUCCGUUAUUUUCUCCCUUCUCCAUCAGACCAUUUACUUAGUCCAGUUUUCUUCUGUCAAUUAAUAACAUAUGUUAUAAAUAGUUUCGUCGAUUAAUUCGUUCUUGUUUGUAGACCAGUAGUUUUCGUCAAAUGGUUUGAUGUCGAGUGUUAUAUGUACUGAUCCUUAGACACUUAGCUUCAGGGCUCAUCGUUAGUAUGCUUUCUGCUCCUACAUCUUUGUUUUAAUGCUAUUCAUUUAAUUUGAGUUUCGAGCUUAAACUGUGGUCUGAGUUUGAUGAAUUGAAUCCUAAGGUUGUCAUGUUCAGGGUCUGAUAUGAAUCUAUCAUUGGUUUAAAUUCAGAUUUGGUGUGAUAGUGUUGAUUAUGAGUUAGUUUCAUGUGGUUAAUUAGUAAUUGUUAGGUGGAUUGGUUAUAGAUGAUGGGUAGUAAUCACAGGGGUUUCAGGGAAUAAUUUGGGACUUAAAAGUUUAAAAAUAGUUAGUUUAAGUGUUCUGUCCAGUAAGUACUAAUGUAACAUUAAACUAAUGCAUUUGUUUAGUAGUAGUGGGGAACAAAACAUAAUAGCAUGGGGAGGCCUAAUGGAAAUGUAAUUAAAGUAUGUACUACCAAUAACCAUUGAAUUAAAUAAAGAAAGACAAGGGUUAGUGGGGAACAAGUGAAUAAAAAAUAGAGCAAAACAUAUAGGGGUGGGGUUCUAGAGAAUAUCAUGGGCAAAAUAUGCUUAAUUAAUGGGUUUGAGUGCUCCUAAGAGCUGUAAAAGGGGCAGUAGUUUGCAUAUAAAUAGGGGGAUUUUGGACAGAGUUAAGGGGUCCUUUUUUUUGAGUCUUUGAGAGAGUCUUCCUUUUUGAAUCAGUUUUAGAGAGAUAUAGGAAGAGAGAUACACAGAAAUAGAUACAGCAAGAAAAAAAAUCAAAAAUGAUUGCAGAAUUUCAGAAAAAUACACUGUUUCAUUGAGUCAUUUGGUAUUUUCUGAAGUUUUCCUUUAGUAUGGAAGCAAUUUCUGGUUAGCUGAUAAUAAAAAGGGUUUAAGUCGAGUCGGGUUUGGGGUCUGGUGAUUCACUAAGAUUGAAAUUAGGGUAUGACUAUCGUAUCACAUCCCUUGGUUUCAAAAUUAGUCUGCUGGUUCAUUUUCUGGUGUUGAAUACUACUGCUGCUGUUUGUUACUACUGAUACCUCAUUUUUCUGCUUCCUUCUUUCAUUUCCAGGUGCACACUUGAACUCAAAUUGAUGUAGCUUUGAGAUGAACAUGAAAUGAAAGUACUUAGACAUUUGUUUACUGGAUGAUGCAUGUUUGGACGACUAUACAUCUGUAGUUAAGUAGAUAUUAAUGAUGUGUAACUUUGUAGUGUAGUCUAAUUGGAUAUAUAUUCACAUGAAACUCGGAUUGUGUAAUUUGUACCUAAUUGGACUGUUAAUUUGUGGUUAUCCAGUUGUAG